rnacentral:rRNA from 1 species
AACGAACGCUGGCGGCAUGCCUAACACAUGCAAGUCGAACGACACCUUCGUGUCUAGUGGCGCACGGGUGCGUAACGCGUGGGAACCUGCCCUUAUGUUCGGGAUAACUCCCCGACAGGGGUGCUAAUACCGGAUAAUUUCUUCGGACCAAAGAUUUAUCGCCUUUGGAUGGGCCCGCGUUGGAUUAGCUAGUUGGUAGGGUAAAAGCCUACCAAGGCGACGAUCCAUAGCUGGUCUGAGAGGAUGAUCAGCCACACUGGGACUGAGACACGGCCCAGACUACUACGGGAGGCAGCAGUGGGGAAUAUUGGACAAUGGGCGAAAGCCUGAUCCGGCAAUGCCGCGUGAGUGAUGAAGGCCUUAGGGUUGUAAAGCUCUUUUACCCGGGAUGAUAAUGACAGUACCGGGAGAAUAAGCACCGGCUAACUCCGUG